GUACUCCCGAAGAGUCCCAAACUAGGACGAAACAGCUGUCCAGUAC
rnacentral:hammerhead_ribozyme from 1 species